UAGACUAGAAGGUGGGGGAUGGGAUUUGAUGACAGAUGUUUUGGUUUGAAAAUGGAGGAACUGUUCUUGAUUUAAACAUUAUUUUUGAAACUGCAUGAAAUUAAUUGUGUAGGUUAUGUGGGAUCUUCUGUAGUUGUGUGGUAUCGAUCUUAUUGACUCUGAAAUGUUGUUUGAUAUGAAAAAAACUGUAUUCUUAUAUUGCAAAUCAAGAAAAGACUGUUCCAUGUUAAUUAGUCGAUGUUCAUUUGUGGUUUCCCUAUUUGAACCUGAAAUUUUAUUCUUCCAAGUGUCACUCACUGCGGUUCUCGUGAAUUGCUCGGUAUUUUCUGAUCUUGGUUUCUUAAAAAUUUUGGUAAGUGUUGAAUAUAAGAGAGAAUGAAAACAGAGCUGCUUCGGAUUGGAAAACAUGUUAAAUCAGUAAGAAACCCGUGUAUGAUGUAAACCUAAUUUCCACAUAAUCUAGUCUCCUUGGUGAUGACCUGUGACCGUCGUCGUUAAACGUAAGCUAUGUUGGAAAGGUGAGUUCCAUGGUUGGAGAUAUGAUUUAACCCGUUUUAGCGUCGAUGAGUGGAAUUUGAGAUCAAGGUCUGUAAGCUCAAAAAUGGUAGAGCGCUCGGGUCCAUAAUUGGGCUUUGGGAGGAUGGUGGUUCGAAUCCACCCAGAUCUAAAAUAACAAUACCAUUUAAAAUUCAUGUGUUUCGGUUUUAUGUUUUCUUUACUCUUUAACCUCAUAUAGCUGUCAGGCAAACAAAAAGAGCCCAGGGCCGGCAGCAACAGGGAACAACUGGCGGCAAAGCAAAACAAGGACCAAGGCAGGCUGCCGAAGCUGAGAGACAACCAAGACAGCCAAAAGUGAGCUAAGCAAGCAACAGUAGGCACCAUUAAUCUAAUUAUUAUUAACGAUAAAUGUCAGGUCAUCUUCUCCCUGACUAAUACAUGAUUAGUGAAAUACCUUUCCAUUGAAGGAAUCUUGAGGACUAUGUCGAUAUUUAUUUGUGUUCGAUUUCAAUAUCGCUUGUAUAAAAAAAAAAGUUUUACAUUAAAGAAACCUAGUAUGAUUUUGUUAUUCUCUUUAUGUAUCUAAAUCUAAAGGUUGUGACCUAUGAAAUUUGAUGUUAAUGCGUGCAAUUUGACCAAGAUUUGUUGAAGGAAUAAUAGGUUUGGGCCAAAAACCCCAGCCCAAUUCUCAUUUUUUCGGGCCGUAGUCUCUUAUCUUUUUUCUUAGGUCCGGCCCGGUUAAAACUAUUCAAGGACUGUAAUUUCGAGCUUGGGCUUUUCCAAAUUCCGAAAUAUCUAGAAUGAAAGGCGCGAGAGAAACCUAAUUAUAGUGGACCCAGCUGUCAAGGCGGCAAAAUAAACGUGUCGAGGUUGAUAAGGUCAAAAACAGUAACGUGGAAAAUUAUACCACCGCCUAACCACCCAACCACGUUAUAACAUACCAGCCGUCGAUCUUAAAGAUAAGGGCGCAAUGGCAGCCGUCCAUCGCAUUUAUCCUAUUAUAAAAGUACGUUAGGUUGGGUUGGUUCCUAACCAUUCAACGACUCAAUGUUCUCUCUCUCUUCGCAUCUCUAUGCGCCUCCGUGGUUCCUCUCUUGCAGAUCUGUUCUGCAAGGAUUCUUUUCUCUUCCUUUAUGUCUCGAAUUCGCGUAGGUCUUUUCAAGAUCUACGUUUUCAUGGUGAUUUGAGGCUGUGAAGAUGUUUUGAGCUGCUGGUUCGUAGCUGGUUUUACGAGCUUGAGCUCGUCUUCUUCGUGCUUUGGCUCAGAUUUAGAGUUUCUGAUUGACUAUGAUGGAGUUCAUAGCAAGUCCUCGGAGUUUCCAAGACUUGACCGUUUUGAACCAAAUCCGACGUCGUUUCAGCUGCAGAUCUGGUUC